AAGUCGUAACAAGGUUUCCGUAGGUGAACCUGCGGAAGGAUCAUUACAUUCAGUAGCCUAGCUACUUGUUUAUACCCUUGUUUUUUGCGUACCUAUUGUUUCCUCGGCGGGCUUGCUCGCCGGUUGGACAAAAAUUACAACCUUUUUAAAUCUUCAAUCAGCGUCUGAAUUAUACAUAACAAUUACAACUUUCAACAACGGAUCUCUUGGUUCUG
rnacentral:misc_RNA from 1 species